CAGAGUUUGAUCCUGGCUCAGGACGAACGCUGGCGGCGUGCCUAAUACAUGCAAGUCGAGCGGACGUUUUAUUGGUGCUUGCACCGAUUUAACGUUAGCGGCGGACGGGUGAGUAACACGUGGGCAACCUGCCCUGUAGAUUGGGAUAACUCCGGGAAACCGGGGCUAAUACCGAAUAACACUUUUUAACUUAUGUUAGAAAGUUGAAAGAUGGUUCUGCUAUCACUACAGGAUGGGCCCGCGGCGCAUUAGCUAGUUGGUGAGGUAACGGCUCACCAAGGCAACGAUGCGUAGCCGACCUGAGAGGGUGAUCGGCCACACUGGGACUGAGACACGGCCCAGACUCCUACGGGAGGCAGCAGUAGGGAAUCUUCCACAAUGGGCGAAAGCCUGAUGGAGCAACGCCGCGUGAGUGAAGAAGGAUUUCGGUUCGUAAAACUCUGUUGUAAGGGAAGAACAAGUAGCGUAGUAACUGGCGCUACCUUGACGGUACCUUAUUAGAAAGCCACGGCUAACUACGUGCCAGCAGCCGCGGUAAUA
rnacentral:rRNA from 1 species